CUUCAGCAAAGAUGGCUGACAAAAAUACCAGGACAGAAGCAAAUGUUAGUGACUCCUGAGAAAACCACCAAACCAGGCUGUCGUCUUGUGAAACAGUGGAUGUAAGGAAUAUAGCUAGCUAAAGUUUUACUGAAAAUGUCAUGUACAUUUUGUAUGCUUGCCUUGCUGGUAUUUGCCAUGAAAUGCAGCUGAAGUAAUGUAGCUAGCUAACCAUGGUCUUGCUUAUUGUGUAGUGGAGGAUAAAAAAUACCUGUAUGCCUAUGGAUGUGUAGCUAGCUAUAAAAAAAUAUAUAGCAAAGAAUAUAUCCACUGAUCAUGUGCUCUACCUUGGCAAAUAAAGGUGCGGUUCAGGUCUUUUUCAGUCAUAUCCAACACCAAGAAUAUCAAACUCCAGUCUUUGAACGAUGCUUUGUCUGCAUGUUUGUAUUACAAUUAUACACUUCAACCUUGUUUACCAAUCCUGGUCCAUCUAUGGUUACACAUUGUAACUAUGCAAUGAACUAGAAACAUGAUUUAACUCAUUAAAGACUAAUUUGUAAUUCACAUAUAUAUAGAAACAGAAUUUAAAAAGAAAGGUACCCUAUACUUUCUAUGUAUCAUGUAAAUACUUGAAUAAACAGUUCAUUUGAA